rnacentral:rRNA from 1 species
UACGAAGGGGGCUAGCGUUGCUCGGAAUCACUGGGCGUAAAGGGUGCGUAGGCGGUCUUUUAAGUCGGGGGUGAAAUCCUGGAGCUCAACUCCAGAACUGCCUUCGAUACUGGAAGACUUGAGUCCGGGAGAGGUGAGUGGAACUGCGAGUGUAGAGGUGAAAUUCGUAGAUAUUCGCAAGAACACCAGUGGCGAAGGCGGCUCACUGGCCCGGUACUGACGCUGAGGUGGCGAAAAGCGUGGGGAGCAAACAGG